rnacentral:rRNA from 1 species
GGAAACAGAUGCUAAUACCGCAUAGAUCCAAGGACCGCAUGGUUCUUGGCUGAAAGAUGGCGUAAGCUAUCGCUUUUGGAUGGACCCGCGGCGUAUUAGCUAGUUGGUGAGGUAACGGCUCACCAAGGCGAUGAUACGUAGCCGAACUGAGAGGUUGAUCGGCCACAUUGGGACUGAGACACGGCCCAAACUCCUACGGGAGGCAGCAGUAGGGAAUCUUCCACAAUGGACGCAAGUCUGAUGGAGCAACGCCGCGUGAGUUAAUAAGGCUUUCGGGUCGUAAAACUCUGUUGUUGGAGAAGAAUGGUCGGCAGAGUAACUGUUGUCGGCGUGACGGUAUCCAACCAGAAAGCCACGGCUAACUACGUGCCAGCAGCCGCGGUAAUACGUAGGUGGCAAGCGUUAUCCGGAUUUAUUGGGCGUAAAGCGAGCGCAGGCGGUUUUUUAAGUCUGAUGUGAAAGCCCUCGGCUUAACCGAGGAAGCGCAUCGGAAACUGGGAAACUUGAGUGCAGAAGAGGACAGUGGAACUCCAUGUGUAGCGGUGAAAUGCGUACAUAUAUGGAAGAACA